GCAUUUGGGAUUUAUUAGUGCACGUUAAAUCUUGCGUUUGUCCACAUUGGCAUUUGUGUACGUCAUUUAUUUUUAGCUACACAUUUCUGAUUAUUGCAACAAACAACAACAAAAGAUCCGUUUUAACACAAUUCACAGGCUCACUGAAAACAAUUGAGGACUGCAGACAAAAAUAUAAAUAUUGUAAGACGUGGACGAAGUUGGUAUUUGUAUUAACAGCUGAGCCUGCAGUGCAAGCAGGCUAACUAACCUGAAGCGUAGCUAGCUAGCUUCUCUAAACGGCGUUAUUCACAGGAAAAUCUGCAUCUGUUCAACAACUACAAAAAUAAAAAUGACUUCAGCCUCAACGAAGGUUGGGGAGAUCUUCUCAGCAGCAGGAGCUGCUUUCACCAAGUUAGGGGAGCUGACCAUGCAACUGCACCCCGUAGCUGACUCCAGUCCCGCAGGAGCUAAGUGGACGGACACUGAGAUUGGGCAGCUGAGAUCGGCCGUGGUGAGGUUUGGUGAUGACCUGAACUCUCUCAGCGCUGUCAUCAAGGAACGCACCGUGGUCCAGAUUAAAAGUACAGUGAAGAGGAAGCUCUAUGACGAGACUGGGAUGCCCAUUUCCACCGACUCCCCAAAAAAGACCGCCAAGAAGACUGCUGUUACCAUGGCCACCAAGGCAACCCCAACUGUCAUUGCUGUGCCGACCUCACAGGUUGUCAUGAAGGCAGGUGUCCAGGGAAAUGUGACUCUGGCCAUUCCCACCAUGAAGAAACAGAAGUCUGCAGAUGUGACUCUGAGUGCUCUGAAUGACUCUGACGUCAACUCUGACCUGGUAGACAUAGAGGGACUGGGAGAGGGAUCCAACUCCAAGAAACUCAACUUCGAUCAGGGUAGAAACUCAAGCAAGAAGUACCCGUGUUAAGGUCUAUUCAACACUGGUCUAUUCAACAAUCGGAAUCCAUGCUUCAAGAUUGUUUUGAUCACGCGGACUAGGAUAUGUUCCGGGUAGCCUCUGAGAAUAACAUUGACGGAUACACGGAUCACCAUGACGGAGUUCAUCAGGAAGUGUAUAGGAGAUAUUGUACCCACUGUGACUUAAAACCUACCCAAAACAGAAAAUGGAUGGAUGGCAGCAUUCGCACAGAACUGAAAGUGCGAACCACAGCAUUUAACCAUGGCAAGUGACUGGGAAAAUGGCCGAAUACAAACAGUGUAGUUAUUCCAUCUGUAAGGCAAACAGGCAAGACGUCAGUACAGAGACAAAGUGGAGUCGCAAUUCAACGGCUCAGAAAUGAGACGUACAGUUGAAGUCAGAAGUUUACAUACACUUAGGUUGGACUCAUUACAGCUCAUUUAUCAACCACUCCACAAAAUUCUUGUUAACAAACUAUAGUUUUGACAAGUCGGUUAGGACAUCUACUUUGUGCAUGACAAGUAAUUUUUCCAACUAUUGUUUAGACAGAUUAUUUCACUUAAUUCACUGUAUCACAAUUCCAGUGGGUCAGAAGUUUACAUACACUAAGUUGACUGCCUUUAAACACUUUGGAAAAUUCCCAAAAAUGUCAUGGCUUUAGAAGCUUCUGAUAGACUAAUUGACAUCAUUUGAGUCAAUUGGAGAUGUACCUGUGGAUGUAUUUGUGAAGAUGCGGGAGACAACAGGUACAAAAUCUAUAUCCACAGUAAAACGAGUCCUAUAUCGACAUAACCUGAAAGGCCGCUCAGCAAGGAAGAAGCCAUUGCUCCAAAACCACCAUUAAAAAAGCCAUACUACGGUUUGCAACUGCACAUGGGGACAAAGAUCGUACUUUUUGGAGAAAUGUCAUCUGGUCUGAUGAAACAAAAACAGAAUGGUUUGGCCAUAUUGACCAUUGUUAUGUUUUGGAGGAAAAAGGGGGAUGCUUGCAAACUGAAGAACACCAUCCCAACUGUGAAGCACUGGGGUGGCAGCAUCAUGUUGUGGGGGUGCUUUGCUGCAGGGGGGACUGGUGCACUUCACAAAAUAGAUGGCCUCAUGAGGAAGUUAAAUUAUGUGGAUAUAUUGAAGCAACAUCUCAAGAGUCAGGAAGUUAAAGCUUGGUUGCAAAGGGGUCUUCCAAAUGGACAAUGACCCCAAGCAUACUUCCAAAGUUGUGGCAAAAUGGCUUAAGGACAACAAAGUCCAGGUAUUGGAGUGGCAUCACAAAGCCCUGACCUCAGUCCUAUAGAACAUUUGUGGGCAGAACUGGAAAAGUGUGUGCUAGCAAGGAGGCCUACAAACCUGACUCAGUUACACCAGCUCUGUCAGGAGGAAUGGGCCAACAUUCUCCCAAAUUAUUGUGGGAAGCUUGUGGAAGGCUACCUGGAAUGUUUGACCCAAGUUAAACAAUUUAAGGGCAAUGCUACCAAAAACUAAUUGAGGGUAUAUAAACGUAUGACCCACUGGGAAGGUGAUGAAAGAAAUAAAAGCUGAAAUGAAUUCUGAAUUCUAUUAUUCUGACAUUUCACAUUCUUAAAAUAAAGUGGUGAUCCUAACUGACCUAAAACAGAGUUUUUACUAGGAUUACAUGUCAGGAAUUGUGAAACUGAGUUUAAAUGUAUUUGGCCAAGGUGUAUGUAAACUUCCGACUUCAACUGUAUGUGGCAGGGUCUACAGACAAUCACGGACUACAAAGGAAAAACCAGCCAUGUCGCGGACAUCGUCUUGUUUCCGGACAAGCUAAACACCUUCGCCCGUUUUGAGGAUAAUACAGUGCCACCGACACGGCCCGUUACCAAGGACUGUGGCCUCUUCUUCUCCGUGGCCGACACAACCUGAACCUCGACUCCAGCUUCAUUCUGAACUCGUGACCUGCCGCUCCUCUCGUUGACCAAUAUGUUUUCAUUAGCACCCUAUUUCCUACAUAGUGCACUACUUUUGACUGGAGCCUUAUGGACCCUGGUCAAAUGUAAUCCACUAAAUAGGGAUUAGAGUGCAAUUUGAGACGCAGCCCCCGACAUCUCUAUGGACAACAGCCGAGAUCCUUCAGAUUUGAUUUGCCGGAUCUCUAUGGUUGCAUCUGAAAUGGCACCUUAUUCCCCGUUUUUUUUUUUGCCAAGGCCUAUGAGGGGUGCAAAUUUCUCUUGCAUGAGGAAUGUGUUGGAUGUAAAUAAUGGUAUUUUUAUUUAUUCAUACAUGAUUGAUUUGUACUACACAAAAAGCUAAUGUGCAGAGCUGCAUGGCCAAUGACUACAGUGUGUAGAUUUUGCCAUCUUGGUUUAUGUCAACUAUAUGUGGGGUAGGUGGCCCUGCAAAUUCCCAUUUGACAAUGCUGCAACUGCAAACUGUUGUUUCCGGAAUCAUGUACUUGUGAACCCAGUGUUGAGCUCACCAGCAAAUUAAACUGGUAUUUGAAAAGCAUACUGGAUAAUAUAGAUGAACACAAUUGUAUCAAAGGACAGGAAUUAGUUUAGUGCUGUUUUCGGUUUGAAACAGUGGAUUAUUUUAUUGUUCAAAACAUGACCCAUGUAGUUUUGGGGGGAAAUAUUUCUCGGUAAGUUACUGACAAACAUUUGUAGUUUUAUAUAGAGGCUUACUCUAAGGACAAUCAAAUGACCUGUGCGAUUUGCUGAAUUAUGUUGAAUAAAUUACCAACUAGAAUUUUA